AAAAAAAGUUUGCAUCUCUUAUCCAAUUUUGCCUCUUUACCACGGACUGUAGUUGCCUCUUUCUUUUGCAAUGAGGAAUAGCUGUAGCGAUGGCUGUCAUGGUGGUUACCAUGUCGGAUUUGUGUUUUGAAGUGCAAUCUUGGACGCGUAUGUAGAUUUUGAGGGAGUGAAAAUGGACAUUUUGCAACUAUAUUAGAAUAAGUAAACAAAUAAAUAAUGGAGCAAUUCAAAGUGGUUAUCUGCAUGACGACCAAUAAGAACUGGAGCAUCUGGUAGCAUUCAAAGGUCCAUGGCGUUUCUUGAUUGCAAUAAAUAUUCUUUGGCUGAAAGACAUAAACAUUCUAAUAUGUAUUUGGCACAUUGCUAAGUAUACUAAAGUGUAGGAGCUGUUGUUGGUGUAUGCCUGACUCUGUUCAUGAUCUGACUGCACAAUUCGGAAUUAUGCUGUGAACUGUGAUUGUAAUACUAUUAACGAUACACUUUUGUUCACGACGCUGCACAUGAAACCUUGAAUGAUGGAAGUUUCAUAUCGAAACUGUUAAAUAUCUUCUUCUUCU